CGAUGACUUCUUUAGCCACCCCAAUAAGAAACGGAGUAUAACAAAAACAAGAAGCACACAGCAUAAGAAGAGCAGAACCACCCAAAAGAAAGAAAAGAGAAAAAAAUAACAUCAAAUCCAUGAAAACAUAAGGCUUAGAGCACUCGCAGUCGGAGAAAUAUCAAAAAACAAUUAUAUAUUAAUUAAGGUGAUACAUGAGGCAUGAAAAUACUAGGAUUUGGAGUAGAGAAUUCGAGGAACUCAGGGUUACGCUCUACCACAGACAUUAUUUUUUCAUUUAAGGUCAUCCACACCUCAAUUUCAUUGUUUCGUCCAGUCUGUUUGAAGAAAGUAGCAUUCGCCCACCCUGAAGGGCGUCCAACUUCUCCUGUAAGACCCACCCAUAUAGGUUUUCCCCAUCCAAAAUCGACAUCAUUUAAAUCAAAGUUAAGCCAACUAGAAAAUAAAAAUAUUUCUGGGUUUCUUGAGCCUAUCCCCACCAGUUGUUUCAGCAAGGACUCAGUUAUGCCUUGAAGCCCGUUCUCACCCUGAAAAUCGUUGAGGAGAUCAUCGUUUAUAUUACUGAAAGAUUCUCUAGUUAAGCUCACCAAAUCAUUCAACUCUAUCUUGGUAUCAGCCAACUCACAGGCUGUCAGUGAACGCCACCAUAGGUUUCCAAUAGAGUAUCUUGAAAAGCUAGGUUUUGUUCUUUGUCUUAUAUUCACUGCAUGUAGAGAGACAGACGGCCUUGGCAGAGCGCAUAACGACCUACAAGCUUCUGUGCAGGAUUUCCAAAUAAAGGCAGUCAGUGUUUCAGUGCGAGAUGGAUUCGGCACGCGUUUGCUUUUAGCCUUAGCCCUUAGAGUGGCAAUGGCAUCGGCAUCAAAAACGAAUCUCUUGGUGACAUUUCCUUCUUUGAACAAAUAGUUUUCCGCCACCCACAAAGGAAAUUGAACUAAGAAUUUAUUUUGCGGAGGAAAUCGGGAUGACGCCUCAAAAAGAGCAGGAUUUAUUUGCUCAAGGUAAUGACCUCGUGUGUUGGCUGCCCAGCUGUCGAGGAACGCAAUCGCCGUAGCUACAUCGAUGAUCUUGUGUGAAAAGCAGAGACCGAGUGCCGUCCCACCACAAUCAAAUGUGUUAACUUGUAUGGCUACUUGAGGUGUUGCUUCUGGAUCUGAUUGAUAGCCGAAUGGUUGGCAUGGAAGAAAUUUAUUCAGCAAAUUUAGCUGAGGUUGUAUAAGAAAAUCGAACAAACUCCCCUUCACUCGGGUUUCAACAAAUGGAGCACCCUUCUCGUAGUUGUCUAUAAUAGAGUUGUUUCUCACCCUCCCAGAAAAAGGGUAAAAGGUGGAUAGUGUUUGGGACAGUGAUCUCUUUAGUUGAAUUGAGAUUUGUAAACCUUUGAAAUCUUGAUUGUUAUUUCUUGGGUAGAAGAAAACCAUCGGAACAUAAGUUGUGGGUAAAAGCUGAUCCAAAAGGGACAGCUUGAACGGUAAGAGGUGAUGGAUGGAUGGCGAAGAGGGUUUGAUGAGCUCUCUUGAAAUGAUACUGACGUCCAUAUUGAAGAAGACGACUUAAACAAAAGCAGAUAUUCUAAUGCAUAAAGAGAUGUUCUUGAUGCGGUUUCUUUCUACUGCAUGAGAGCGUCUUAUAUAGGCUUCGUCAACCACUAUCCAAAACCAGAUUUUUGUUCUUCAAUGGGACAAAAGUUGAUUCAAUCUAUCCAUCACUUUGGACUUAAACCACAGGUGCUCGAGUCUUGGACUUUGANNNNNNNNNNNNNNNNNNNNNNNNNNNNNNNNNNNNNNNNNNNNNNNNNNNNNNNNNNNNNNNNNNNNNNNNNNNNNNNNNNNNNNNNNNNNNNNNNNNNNNNNNNNNNNNNNNNNNNNNNNNNNNNNNNNNNNNNNNNNNNNNNNNNNNNNNNNNNNNNUUCUCCAAUCCUUAAUUCUCUACUGUUGCAUUAUCAUCAAGGCUAGAAAUUAAGCUUUUUUUUUUCUCAACACAAUAAACAAGUAUAUGUGAUGAAUAUUUUAAAGUAUUUUUUUUAUUUUUCUUCUUUGCUUCAAUUUAUUAAUAAUGUAUUUUUAUUUUUUUCAUAACACACAUAAUUCAACUUUGAAAUUAAGCACGUCAUUAAGGUAAAAAAUUUUCAUUCCUUACACCUAUAUUUGUUUUUGUAUUAUUUUUUCAUUUUUUUAUUUUUGUUUUUGUCUAUAUUGAAAUAAUGUUUCUGGUUUUGUUAAAUUUUAAUUGUCAUCAUCAAAUUUGUUGUUCAAUGUCAAUUUAAUAUAUAGGAUUAAAUUUAAUUAUAAAAAAUUCUUGUCAAUUUAGAAUUAAAAAUAUUAUUACGUAGAAAAUAAGAAUUUUCUACAAAAUUGAAUUAUUUAAAAUUGUUGGUAAAAAUAAAAUAAAAUCAUUUGGUUUGAGGCAUGAAUGCUAUCUAUUUGUACGAUUAAAAAUUUUGGGUUGUUCCUGUAUAGAGGAGGUGCUGCCGAAUUAUUUUUUUUAAAUUGAAAUUAUUUAUUUAUUUUUUGUAAAUUUAUAUAGAUGUGCAGGGAAAAAUUAAUUGGACGUUGUGAGUACACGUAGUUAGUUCUUCUAACAAUAAUGAUGACAACAAUGUAUUGUUAAAUGUCAACUAAAGAAAAAGCACCUGAAACACAUGCGUCCACUUAUAACUUUCCGACAGAUCAAAAGUUACUAACGAGAUUUUUUCUAACGGAAGUUUCCAUUAUAAUAAAGGAACAGAAAAGGUAGCUAACCUAACCAGAAAAGACUUUCUACAGAAGAGUUAAAGAAUCACAAAAAGAAAUCCUGGGAGAAAACGAAGCACAGACAAGAAUCAAUGGUUUAGCAGAGCCAUUCAGGGUAGCGUAGGAGCAAGGCGGUGGAAGGUUUUGUUGGGCAACCACUAGUGAAUCAUAAAAUGUCAACGGUUAAUUUCUUGAAUCUUGACUUGAUAAUAAAUUAACAAGUGCAAACUCUGGAUCUUCGCUUAUUAUGGCCCAGUGGACCUCUCCAUCAAAAGAUUAAUAAUAUUCAAAACUUGGUAUACCUUCCACUAAUCAUAAUUUUAGGAUUUCAGAUUUCUAAAUAUAAUAAGAAAAAAAGUUUGGAUUUGGAGUUAGUAUCUAAGGGUUUAUUUAGAAAGAGAAUAAUACUUUAGUUAAAAAAAAAACUAGAGUCAGAAAAAUGAAAACAAAAAUUUAUUGUUCAAAUGCAAUACUUUUAUAUAAAAGAAGAAAAAAAACCUUAGAGGUGGUCCUCUACAGUUUUUCAAGAAAAAAAAUGAAUAAUAUACAUUUUCUUCUUUUAUAUACAAGCAUUUUUUAGCAAUAUAAAAUAUUAAAACUAUUCUUUUAAUAUUUUAAUAUUUAGUUAGUGUCAUAAAUUUGAGUUUUAUUGUAAAUAUAAUAUAAAUAUUUUUGUUUGAGUUAAUAAUAUAAUUUUUUAUGAUAAUUUUUAAUUUAAAAAAAUAAAAAUAAUAUUCUAUAAUUAGAUUAUCACAAAUAAAAAAAAUAUUAAGAUUUUAACUUGGAUCUUUUUUGUCGGACCUUCUUUUGGAGAUCUAAUUUAUUUUUUUCCCUUUGAUUUUAUGUCACGUGUUGCUGGUUAGUUGAGUUAAUCCAGGUUGACUUGAAUAUCUUUUCCUUGAUUUUUUUAUGAUAUUUUUUUCAAUUUCAACAUUUUACAUUAAGUUAUUUACCAUUGAGCUUUGUCAUUUUUCACUUUUUUUACUUUUUAGUUAUUCCGAGAGUGGGUUAGUAAAGUUAACCCGAAUUGGCUCGGGGUUUCUUUUACUUUUUUUUAUUGAACUUUGAUUUUUUUACCAAGUCAUCCUUUUAAUUUUUUUUUAUUCCGAUCUCAUAUCACCUGUUGUUGGUUCAUCAAAUUACCCUGAGCUGACUCGGGUUUUCUUCCUCUUUUUUUAAGGUUGUUUUUUGUUUUCAUCUUUGACAUUAAGUUUGUCAUAACUCAAUUUUUGACCAUUUUAUUUUAAUAAUUAUUAUUAUUUUAUUAAGAUGAUACAUGAAAAAUUUGAUGAAAUAAUAAUAAUAAUAAUGAUGGAAAAACAAGUAAAAUAAAAUAAAUGAAGAAUGAAUUAAAAUUUGGGUUAAGGGCAAAAUGAUUGGAAGUUUUGGGGUUUAAUUAAACUUUGAAAUUAAUCUAAUUAAGUUUGGAAUUAAUUUAAUUAAUCCAAUUAAGGGUUUAAUUGGAGAAUUGAUAAAUUUGUAGACUUGAUUGAGCUUGAAAUUAAUUUAAUUAAUUCAAGUAAGGGUUUAAUUGGAGAAUUGAUAAAUUUUUAGACUUAAUUAAGCUUGAAAUUAAUUUAAUUCAUCCAAUCAAGGGUUUAAUUGGAGAAUUGAUAAGUUUUGAGACUUAAUUAAGCUUGAAAUUAAUUUAAUUAAUCCAAUCAGGAGUUUAAUUGGAGAAUUGAUAAGGUUUAGACUUAAUUGGACUUUGGAUUUAAUUAAAUUAAUGAAAUCAGGGACUUAAUUGAAGAAAUAGCAAAGUUUGGGGUUAAUUGGGGACACGAUUGCAGCAGAUUAAAGUCCAAGGACUAACUUGUAAAGGCGCCGAAAUGCAGGGAAAAUUACGGUUUAAACCAGGGGCUUAAUGAUAAAAGUUUCGAAACUUUACGGGUCAAAGUGAAAAUGGCCACUGUUUAUCUCCAAACGGUGUCGUUUUGAAGACGUUGUUCAUCUUCUUCUCCUUUAAGCCAGUGACCGUUUCUGCAGUAAUGGAGGGAGAAACAUUGCAGCAGUAAUCGUCGUCAGUUGGCUUCAGUUAUGGGCGUCUUAAUGGUGGCCGACCCUCAGCCUACCGCCCGUUAUCAACCCGCCGAGCCCUAUAUAAACCGAGCAGCACCGAAGAGCAGGGGUUGGUUAGAGAGAGAGAGAGACGAAAGAAACCGAAAAGAAGAGAAACACAAGCAAAGCACACAAUUUUUAGGUUCAUCUCCAGAACUCCCAUACCAGAAAUAGGCUUCCCUCACCAGUUCUGACUUAAGAAAAACGAGAGAGAAAACUGGCCGAGAGAGAGAGAGACGGUGUUCUGAAAACAGAGCAUAAAGACGAAGAAAAACAAGCUGAAAUAGAGACACAGGAAAGGAAUACAACAGGGAACACAAGCAGAAGGAAGUAAGAGGAAACUCGAAGCAGAAACGUCGCCCUCAGCAAUCUCGCGCAAACUCCCUGUAAACGAACCAGGUAAGUCUUCUGCUCUGUUUUUUUUUCCCCGCGUUUCAUUAAUUCAUCUUCGCCGCCUGUCUUGAUUUAAAACUAAAGGCCCGGCACGCGUGAUUUGGAUCACGCGUGCCUCAUGUGGCCCAGCCGGGUCACUGGCUUAGGCCAAUGACCGGGCUGGGCUGGCUGGGUCUAGCCCAGCCCAUGUGGGCUGAUCUGGGCCCAGCCCAAAAAACAUAAAUAUAAAAAAUAAAAAAAUAAAAAAUAGAAAAAUAAAAAAAUAUGUGUAUGCAUGAAUAAAAAUAAUAUAAAUUUACUAGUUUAUUCACCAACGCCAGAGUCGGGAAUAAAAUACUGGUUUAAAUUUAUAUUAUUUUUAUUCGUUAUAUUUUAUUUUAUUUAGCAAAAAAUAUAUGUGCAUGUAUGAAAAAUAAAAUUUUUUAUUUAUUUUUUAUUUUAUUUUAUUGAUUUAUUCUAUGACGCCAGAGUCGGGAAUAAAAACACUGAUUUAAUUUUUUUUAUUAUUAUUUAACUAUAUAGAAAAAAAUAUGUGAACGCGUAAUAAAAUUAAUUUAGUUUAUUUGUUUAUUCAUUAGCGUUAGAGUUAGGAAUAAAAAAUAUUGAUCUAAAUUUAUUUUAUAGUUACGUAAUAGUUACCAACGCCAGAGUUGAAAUUAUCCGUAGUUGAAUAUUCACUGACGCUAGAGUUAGGAAUAUUGCGAAUAAACCACUAGAGCGUAAACAAGUAAAAUUUAGCAAUUUAAGACAAAAACAGCAAUACAGUUUGCCUUAGGCAGAACGUUUAAGAGGUGCUAAUAUCUUCCCUUUUACGUAACCAGUCCCGAACCAUAGAAUCUCUAUUGACCAGUUAGGGUUUUUAGUGACCAUAAUACUAGGUGACGACUCCUCAAACAAGACAUUUUUUCUAAAAGAACAAGAUGCCAGAAAUCCGUUCUUUUUCCAUAAUUAGAGAUUUAUUUUUAGAGCCGCCGCGAUGUCGGGUGCGACAAAGUUAUUAAACUUUAAAUUUUGUAAUUUUCUUUCAAUUUUUUGUGUGAAUUCUUUUGGUUUUAUAUCCCUAACUGUAUUUUAGUUAAUUUAACUCGAAUUAUUUGAUUUUAUUGUCCCUUCGAAUAUUUUUUUAAACGUUGAAAAAAGUUGGAUCCGCCUACUAGUAUCGGAGAACAGCUAUAUAGUAAUUGGCUAUUUUGGAUCCUAGAGCAAAAAAUUCAGAUUCAAGUGAAGAGAAAUGGGGAUGACAAAAAGCUUCCCCACACAUGAUCGAUCCAUUAUUUAUCAUGAGGAACGUGAAAUUAAAACUCUACUGUCCUGGAAACCUAAAAAUUUCAGCGACCACAAAAGGCCUAUCUGCAGCCUUAUAGAAUAUGUGACCACAAGAAAAUAUGACAAAAAACAGCAGAGCAUAAGAAGAGCAGAACCACCCAAAAGAAAGAAAAGAACAAAAAAUAACAUCAAAUCCAUGAAAACAUAAGGCUUAGAGCACUCGCAGUCGGAGAAAUAUCAAAAAACAAUUACAUAUUAAUUAAGAUGAUACAUGAGGCAUGAAAAUACUAGGAUUUGGAGUAGAGAAUUCGAGGAACUCAGGGUUACGCUCUACCACAGACAUUAUUUUUUCAUUUAAGGUCAUCCACACCUCAAUUUCAUUGUUUCGUCCAGUCUGUUUGAAGAAAGUAGCAUUCGCCCACCCUGAAGGGCGUCCAACUUCUCCUGUAAGACCCACCCAUAUAGGUUUUCCCCAUCCAAAAUCGACAUCAUUUAAAUCAAAGUUAAGCCAACUAGAAAAUAAAAAUAUUUCUGGGUUUCUUGAGCCUAUCCCCACCAGUUGUUUCAGCAAGGACUCAGUUAUGCCUUGAAGCCCGUUCUCACCCUGAAAAUCGUUGAGGAGAUCAUCGUUUAUAUUAGUGAAAGAUUCUCUAGUUAAGCUCACCAAAUCAUUCAACUCUAUCUUGGUAUCAGCCAACUCACAGGCUGUCAGUGAACGCCACCAUAGGUUUCCAAUAGAGUAUCUUGAAAAGCUAGGUUUUGUUCUUUGUCUUAUAUUCACUGCAUGUAGAGAGACAGACGGCCUUGGCAGAGCGCAUAACGACCUACAAGCUUCCGUGCAGGAUUUCCAAAUAAAGGCAGUCAGUGUUUCAGUGCGAGAUGGAUUCGGCACGCGUUUGCUUUUAGCCUUAGCCCUUAGAGUGGCAAUGGCAUCGGCAUCAAAAACGAAUCUCUUGGUGACAUUUCCUUCUUUGAACAAAUAGUUUUCCGCCACCCACAAAGGAAAUUGAACUAAGAAUUUAUUUUGCGGAGGAAAUCGGGAUGACGCCUCAAAAAGAGCAGGAUUUAUUUGCUCAAGGUAAUGACCUCGUGUGUUGGCUGCCCAGCUGUCGAGGAACGCAAUCGCCGUAGCUACAUCGAUGAUCUUGUGUGAAAAGCAGAGACCGAGUGCCGUCCCACCACAGUCAAAUGUGUUAACUUGUAUGGCUACUUGCGGUGUUGCUUCUGGAUCUGAUUGAUAGCCGAAUGGUUGGCAUGGAAGAAAUUUAUUCAGCAAAUUUAGCUGAGGUUGUAUAAGAAAAUCGAACAAACUCCCCUUCACUCGGGUUUCAACAAAUGGAGCACCCUUCUCGUAGUUGUCUAUAAUAGAGUUGUUUCUCACCCUCCCAGAAAAAGGGUAAAAGGUGGAUAGUGUUUGGGACAGUGAUCUCUUUAGUUGAAUUGAGAUUUGUAAACCUUUGAAAUCUUGAUUGUUAUUUCUUGGGUAGAAGAAAACCAUCGGAACAUAAGUUGUGGGUAAAAGCUGAUCCAAAAGGGACAGCUUGAACGGUAAGAGGUGAUGGAUGGAUGGCGAAGAGGGUUUGAUGAGCUCUCUUGAAAUGAUACUGACGUCCAUAUUGAAGAAGACGACUUAAACAAAAGCAGAUAUUCUAAUGCAUAAAGAGAUGUUCUUGAUGUGGUUUCUUUCUACUGCAUGAGAGCGUCUAAAAGUUGAUUCAAUCUAUCCAUCACUUUGGACUUUGGACUUAAACCACAGGUGCUCGAUCUGCCCCGCUCAACUUGGCAUGGCCACCAGGCCAUGAAUCUUGGAUUUUGAAAUGGUAAAGUUUUGGGUUUCAAUUUAUUUUUUUGUUAUUAGCUUAUUUUAUACUUAGAUUUAAAUUUAUUAUAAAAUAAUUUUUUUAGCUCAAAAAUAAAUUUAGGUCUUUUAAUAAAUUUUAUUUAUCAUUACUAAAUUAAUCGAGGAUAAAUAAAUUAUUUUUCAUUUUAGAUGUAUAAUCAAACAAUCAAAACAUUUUUAAAAACAAAAAAAAAUUAAAAUUAGUAAGGAAAAUAUCUUAUUUUUAUGGUUUUUUUUUUGUUAUUAUUAAUUCAAGCUGAGGGUAACUUGACAUUUGACUAAAUAUAUAAAAAAACAAUGCACGGUCAAAAGAAAAGAAAAUUAUAAAACUAGUGUCCCGGGACUUUUUCAUCUUUUCGUAAUAUUUGAUUGAAAGAAAGACCAUGGAAGAUCAAAAUAGAAAGUUGGUGGGGCAGGCAGCAACCUAGCAUGCCAUUAGAUAACUGUUUACAUGACAAUAAAAUCUUGAACAAUUUAGACUCAAGAGUGAGAGGCAGAGCGAAAAACAGAGUGAAUUGUGCCAGUUUGGACACCUUUCCUCCUUCACUAGUAUUCAAUAACGCCAUUCUACUGAUUCCCACCAUUUUUUUGGAUAUGCCUUGACUUUGAUUUUUUGAAGACAAGGAAGGGUAAGCGAGAUCGGUAUUCUCUUUAGCUUCAGACAGUCAACUGCAUUGAUUUCUUCAAGGGAACUACAGAUCAUUACAUCAUUACAAAUGAUUUGCAGUUCUGGUAAGCAUAUCAAUGUCAAAAGCUUCAACUUUGGGAGACUGAUGUCAGUGCUGCUAACAGCAGAAGUGUUGCUUAUACUAAAACUGCUUUCUUCACUCAUGAUUCUUCCUCCUCCUUCUGCUAUCAUCGUCUCCAUUUUGUUGCAAUUUACGACUUCAAUCACUUCCAGGUUUUGUAGGUUUGGCAGCACGCCAGCAGGGAACAGCUCCUUCAUACUUGGACACCCGAAUAUCUUUUUUUUUGGAUUCAAGGAAACCCCACCUCCCGGAAAGCGCACUUUGUGGGCCCAGGUGAGCGAGUAAAACCCCGGCUGUUCCAGGCUCUUACAAGAGGUGCACGCCCUGACUUGAACUCGAGACCUGCUGUGCAGAUUUCAAACCUUUUACCAUCACGCUACGCCCCUUGAAUGGAAAUAGAGGUGGAGGAGCUCUUUGUCUGCUAAAGAGGCCACACAAGUUUUCAAACUGCUAAGACAUAGAGUCUCAAGGCUUUGGAGUGUAUCGGCGGAGAUCCUGGACAACGAAAGCAAGCACGCUAUUCCAUUACAAUCCCAAAUUACCAAGGAUUUUAGUUUUAUUGCAUGUUUCAUUGAAGAAACAGCACAUAAGCUCGUCAUGUCGUGGCAUUGCACAAUUUCCAGGGCUUGAAUGGUUUUUGGAAGUGUCACAAAAUCUGCUUCUCUGUUGAUACUACAGUUACACAACCGCACUGUAUUAUUUAACUCCGUCUUGUGUAUUCCAGAAAGAGAAGGAACCGCAGGUCCUACUAUAAAAUAGUAAGCUCUCGGUGGCUGUGUAUCUUCCCAAGACUUGACAUACUUGCUAAAGUCAAUGAGAUCACAAAAAUUGCAUUCCAAAGCUUCCAACCUCUUCAAGCAUGCUACUUCCUCUCCUUUAAGUGUCACCUGAGUUUCCGAUGACAAGAGAACUCCGAGAACUUGCAGACGGCAGAGUUUAGGUAUUAUCCCAGCAGACAACUGUUUUAGUCUAGUAUGACUGAGGUCAAGAUACCUAAGAUUGGACAACAAUUUCAUGCCUUCAGGCAAUUCUUCAAGUUGUGUGUAAACCAGGUCCAACUUCUUCAAUGCUGUAAGCUUUGCUAAUGUUGGUACAUGCCUCAGCUGUUGACACCUCCUGAGUAAUAAUGAAGUUAGGCACACCAGAUUAGAUAUGGAGCCUGGCAAACUUUUAAUACCUGUAUUAGAAAGAUCAAGAACUGCGAGUCCAUUCAAUUGUGUGAAAAAAGAACCUUCAAUCGACCGCAGCAUGUAAUUCUGAGAUAACAAUAAUGUAGAAAGAUUGGGACAUCUUGGUGAAUAGCUAGCUGGAAUUUCAGUUAAGUAAUUUUUCAUUAAGGAAACCCGCACUAGAUCCUCUGUCCAUUUCUCUAUGUCCGGUAAUUUCUCUAACUAUCCACCAGAUUCAACCAUGGCUUGAGAGUUCACUUUCUGUAUUUUGAUGGCCAUAUCCCUAACCAAGGUAUUCAUUCGGACGCAUCUAUAACCUUCCCGUGUACAACUUUCUAUUAAGCAGGCAUUUUCAAGUUUAUUAAGCAUGGCAUGGCCCUUAUCAGAUUCUGCUUGUCUGCUCUUCCUUUUUGCAACGAUUCCCUCGACGAUCAUAUACUCUACUAAGUCCUCUCUACUGAUUCCGGAAUCUACAGGAAACAAUGCACAGUAUAAGAAAGCUUGUUGCAAAGCUGAAUCGUUCAAGUUCAUAUAACUGAACUCUAUUAUCUUGAAUAUAUCAGCCUCCAUGUCACCCUUCCCAAUUUUUGACUCUUUUAAUGUCUCCAACGCAUUCCUCCACUGACCUAUAUCAUCCACUUGCCUCAUGCUUCCUGCCAUUGUUAUUAUCCAAAGUAGCAAACCAGUACAUUCCUUUGCAACAGAUUUUGCAAUCUCUAUAACUUCUGAAGGAAGUUCAACAUUAAUGCCAAGUUUCUCCAUAAACAAAGUCCAGGCUUCAUCCUCGCUAAGUGGCUCCACUUUUAUUUUCUCCUGGCAGCACAUCUGUCUACAAACUCUUAAUGAUCUACUUGUCAGAAUCAACUUGCAUCCAUCGACUCCAACAGGUACGCCCACCUUCUCUGGAGAAAAAUGAUUCCACAAAUCAUCUAGAAUGAGAACAAAUUUCUUUUUCGCAAUCAAUCCAUUUGACAAUUUCACAGCUCUUUUCUUCUCAUCCUCGUCAUUUGAAAGAUCUAAAUCAACAGCUUUGGCGAUGAGAUUCUGCAAUUUAUAAAUGCUGAAAUCUUGCGUUACAGUAAUCCAAAAAACAUUCUGGAAAGAGCUUGGUCUUUGUAGAAGCUGAUCAUUGAUAUGUCUCAACAAUGACGUUUUGCCAACACCGCCUAUCCCGUAAAUACCAAUACUUAAGACAUCAUCCUUCAUUAACCACGACCAGAUCUCACUUACAUUUCUUUCAAAAGCACGACCCACUAGCUCUGUUGUCUGAAAUGCUUUUCCUUUAGCUGGAUGUGCUUCACUCACUUCAGGAGCUCUACCUUGAUCGAUAAUCACAAUCUCUCCUCCAAUCAUACUGUCUACCCAAUUUCCUAUUUCUAUACCUGAAAGAUUUCCAUAUGCUAACGCCAAGCCCUUUAAUUCCUGAUAAAUGUGAUUUAAUCCUAGUAACUGAAGUGCGCGCUGCAAAUUCAAACUCACAAAACUUACAGGCGAAACCAUUAUUUUUCUUCUCAACAUAAUUCCAAAAUCCAUCAACCAUUUUCUUUUUCUUAGGCCCUGCAUCCACAAAAAUGAUUACAGUAAUUGAUAACAGAAAGAAAAUACUUUUAAAAAACCAGCAAUCUAGCUAAGACCACAUAAUUUGGCAAAUUCUUAACUUAUCUUCUCCAAACUAAUUAAUUUUAGAAUUUUGUUUAUCAAUUUUUAUAAGUUGAGAUACAUAUAUGAAUUGCACGAUUUUGGCUCAAUGAUAUUCUUUAACUGGCAAAUGAAAGUAAAAAAAAAACUGGGAUAGUAGACUUGUCGUAAAUAAAUACAUGGGGAUAAUGUGUUUUAAAUCAUCAACUAAUCAAAUCAAGAUCAAAAAUAAUUUAGGGUCCUUGGGAUUAGUCGAGGUGCGUGCAAACUGACCCGGACACCCACGUUAAACUAAAAAAAAAAAAAAAGAACAAAAAUCUUUAACCAUCUAGGUGGUGGCCAGUGGUAAGAGCUUGGAACAAAGAGGUUUGCUCCCUCUGUGGUCUCAGGUUCGAACCCUGUGGUUGCUCAUAUGAUGGCCACUGGAAACUUACAUAGUCGUUAAUUUCAGGGCCCGUGGGAUUAGUCGAGGUGCGCGCAAGCUGGCCCGGACACCCACAUUAAACUAAAAAAAAAAAAGAACAAAAAUCUUUUACCACUACAAGUAAAAUGAACCUGUAUGAAUGGAAUGACAAACCAUUAUAAUAAAGGAACAGAAAAGGUAGCUAACCUGACCAGAAAAGACUUUCUACGGAAGAGUUAAAGAAUCACAAAAAGAAAUCCUGGGAGAAAACGAAGCGCAGACGAGAAUCAAUUGUUUAGCAGAGCCAUUCAGGGUAGCGUAGGAGAUAGGCGGUGGAAGGUUUUGUUGGGCAAACACUAGUGAAUUAUAAAAUGUCAACGGUUAAUUUCUUGAAUCUUGACUUGAUAAUAAAUUAACAAGUGCAAACUCUGGAUCUUCGCUUAUUAUGGCCCAGUGGACCUCUCCAUCAAAAGAUUAAAAAUAUUCAAAACUUGGUAUACCUUCCACUAAUCAUAAUUUUAGGAUUUCAGAUUCUAAAAAUAAGAAGAAAAAAAGUUUGGAGUUGGAGUUAGUAUCUAAGGGUUUAUUUAGAAAGAGAAUAAUACUUUAGUUUUUUAAAAAAACUAGAGUCUGAAAAAUGAAAAACAAAAUUAUUGUUCAAAUGCAAUAUUUUUAUAUAAAAAAAACUGAAACUAAUUUUUCAAAUUUAUAAUGAGUUUGGAAGGAAAAAAAAACCUAGAGGUCCUCUACAGUUUUUCCAGAAAAUAAUGAAUAAUAUACAUUUUUUUUCUUUUAUAUACAAGCAUUUUUUAGCAAUAUAAAAAAUUAAAAUUAUUCUUUUAAUAUUUUUAUAUUUAGUUACUAUCAUAAAUUUGAGUUUUAUUGUAAAUAUAAUAUAAAUAUUUUUUUGAGUUAAUAAUAUAAUUUUUUAUGAUAAUUUUUAAUUUUUUUUAAAAUAAAAAUAAUAUUCUAUGAAAAAAGAAGUACCAAUAAACAACACAAAAAAAAAAAUACCAACUUCAAACACUUUGUAAUAUUUGUAUUGUCUGAUUUGAUUCAACUUGUUAAAGUCAAUUAAUAUAAAUAUUACAUAUAAAUGGAUAUCACAUGUUGAGAUUUUUUAAAUUUAAUCAACCUACCUAACCCAUAUAACUUAUACAGCCCUACUAAUAAUGUACCUUAUAUUUUAGAAAGUUCAUGGUAUAAAUACUUUAUUUCUCUCUCUCUCCCUCCCUCUCCAUCUCAACUCAACCUUUUAUUCUCUUAUCUCCUUAUAUGUUAUAUUUGAAGUUUUUUUUUUUUAACAAUUUAUUCUUCUAUUUUAGUCAAUUGUUUCAUUUGAUGUAAUAAGCCUAAAGUAUUUUUUAUAACUUAUAACAUGUUUUUGGAUAAUUUAUUGAGCUUAAAUUUUAGUUUUAAUUAAGCUCUACCAAAGAAAAUUAGCAAGCCUAACUUGUGGAUGUCUAUGAUAUCUACACAAAAAUUAGUCUGGCCUGAUAUAUCUAAAAAUAAAUCGGUGAACUUUAUAAUUUGUAAGAUAUUAGAAGUUACAUUGGAUAUAAUUAACUCAAACCCGACCCAAGUAUAUCCAUGACACCCCUAGUUAUGACAUAGCACAGGUAUAUUAACUAGCCUGUAUAGUACUGCACAACAAAUAAUUUACAAUUUUCUCAUCGUUACAAAAAAAAAAAAAAAAAACUUAAGUGAGCUCAGUCUUUUACUGUGGCCCAGAUAUAAAAGGAUAUGGAUUGAAACAAUGUAAAUAUAAUUUUGCCCUUACCAAAAACUAAUUAAGCUUGCAAAUUGGGGUAAAAAUGUAUUUUUCAUGGGAUACAUUUGUCAUUGUAAAAUUGAUUAGGGACAAAAUAGUCUGGACAUGUUUUUUUUUUUUUGUUAUAGUGUAAUGAUUGUUUUUCCCUCAAAAGCGAAAAAAAUAUCUUUGAGUAAAGGGCUCUUUUAUCUUUUUCAAAAAAAUAAACAUAUAAGUUACGAUCAUGCUCUUAGAAGAGAAAGAAAUAUACAUGCAUAAACGAGUUUCACCAACUUUUCCUUUUUUAAAAAAAUGGUGGACUUUCCCUUGCAUUUAAAAAAAAAACAAAGGUUAUUUGCAGGGGUGUUUUGUUUUUUUUCAACUAGUUUUGUUGUUAUUUUUAGGUUUUUGUCAAGGACAGCUUGACAGUUUUUAAAUAUUAUAUAAAAAAAUUUAGUAUGGCCUCCAUGUCAUUCAAGUGGCACAUGAGGGAACGUACAGUGGCCAAAGUCCUGCUUUCAUCGCGACAUUGGGAGCGACGCGUUAUUCUUUUUCUAUCAAUGUGGCGCAUGCUCACGGAGGAGAUUCGGUUGGGUCGCGGUGAAUGUUUUUUCUUUCUUCUUUCUUUUCUCUCUCAUUUCCUGGAAAGACACACCUAAACUUCCAAAAAAAAAAAACAAUUGUAUACUCUGGUUUGUAAUCUUAUAAAUUUUGAUCCUCCUUUUAAUUAUUGUUUUAUUUGGCUUUUGAUGCUUUUUGAAGUUUGAAUUUAUUUCAAUUUUAUCCUUGGGUAUUUUUUCAAUUUGAUUUUCUUAUCGGAUUUGGGUCCCUCUACUUUUAAUUGCUCUAUUUAUGUGCUUUAUAUUUUUCUUAUUUAUUUUUUUUUUAAUUUUUUCCCUUUUAAUUUUAUUGCAUUUUUUAAUUCAUUGAAGGCUUACAUGAUUGUUAAUUUCAAGACUUAUAGUUUUAGUUGAAAUGCGUGUAAACUGACCCGGACACCCACAUUAAUAAUAAUAAAAAAAAGAGCAGAACCACCCAAAAGGAAAAAAAAAAAAAAAGAGAAAAAAAGAACAUCAAAUCCAUGAAAACAUAAGGCAUAGAGCACUCGCAGUCGGAGAAAUAUUUAAAAACAAUUACAUAUUAAUUAAGAUGAUAAAUGAGGCAUGAAAAUACUAGGAUUUGGAGUAGAGAAUUCGAGGAACUCAGGGUUACGCUCUACCGCAGACAUUAUUUUUUCAUUUAAGGUCAUCCACGCCUCAAUUUCAUUGUUUCGUCCAGUCUGUUUGAAGAAAGUAAUAUUUGCAAAACCUGAAGGGCGUCCAACUUCUCCUGUAAGACCCACCCAUAUAGGUUUUCCCCAUCCAAAAUCGACAUCAUUUAAAUCAAAGUUAAGCCAGCUAGAAAACAUAAAUAUUUCUGGGUUUCUCGAGACUAUCCCCACCAGUUGUUUCAGCAAUGACACAGUUAUGCCUUGAAACCCGUUCUCACCCUGGAAAUCCUUGAGGCGAUCAUCGUUUAUAUUAGCGAAAGAUUCUCUAGUUAAGCUCACCAAAUCAUUCAACUCUAUCUUGGUAUCAGCCAACUCACAGGCUGUCAUUGAACGCCACCAUAGGUUUCCAAUAGAGUAUCUUGAAAAGCUAGGUUCUGUUCUUUGUCUUAUAUUCACUGCAUGUAGAGAGACAGACGGCCUUGGCAGAUCGCGCAACGACCUACAAGCUUCUGUGCAGGAUUUCCAAAUAAAGGCAGUCAGUGUUUCAGUGCGAGAUGGAUUCGGAACACGUUUGCUUUUAGCCCUAGCCCUUAGAGUGGCAACCGCAUCGGCAUCAAAAACGAAUCUCUUGGUCACAUUUCCUUCUUUGAACAAGCAGUUUUCCGUCACCCACAAAGGAACUUGAACUAAGAAUUUAUUUAGCGGAGGAAAUCGGGAUGACGCCUCAAAAAGACCAGGAUUUUUUUGCUCAUGGUAAUGACCUCGUGUGUUGGCUGCCCAGCUGUCGAGGAACGCAAUCGCCGUAGCUACAUCGAUGAUCUUGUGUGAAAAGCAGAGACCGAGUGCCGUCCCACCACAAUCAAAUGUGUUAACUUGUAUGGCUACUUGUGGUGUUGCUUCUGGAUCUGAUUGAUAGCCUAAUGGUUGGCAUGGAAGAAAUUUAUUCAGUGAAUUUAGCUGAGGUUGUAUAAGAAAAUCGAACAAACUCCCCUUCACUCGGGUUUCAACAAAUGGAGCACCCUUCUCGUAGUUGUCUAUAAGAGAGUUGUUUCUCACCCUCCCAGAUAAAGGGUAAAAGGUGGAUAGUGUUUGGGACAGUGAUCUCUUCAGUUGAAUUGAGAUUUGUAAACCUUUGAAAUCUUGGUUGUUUUUUGUUGGGUAGAAGAAAACCAUUGGAACAUAAGUUGUGGGGAAAAGCUGAUCCAAAAGGGACAGCUUGAACGGUGAAAGGUGAUGGAUGGAUGGCGAAGAGGGUUUGAUGAGCUCUCUUGAAAUGAUACUGACGUCCAUAUUGAAGAAGACGACUUAAACAAAAGCAGUGCAUAAAGAGAUGUUCUUGAUGUGGUUUCUUUCUACUGCAUGAGAGC
rnacentral:lncRNA from 1 species